rnacentral:rRNA from 1 species
UUUCGGUUGGGGAUUAGUGGCGAACGGGUGAGUAACACGUGGGCAAUCUGCCCUUCACUCUGGGACAAGCCCUGGAAACGGGGUCUAAUACCGGAUAACACUUCCACUCUCCUGGGUGGAUGUUAAAAGCUCCGGCGGUGAAGGAUGAGCCCGCGGCCUAUCAGCUUGUUGGUGAGGUAAUGGCUCACCAAGGCGACGACGGGUAGCCGGCCUGAGAGGGCGACCGGCCACACUGGGACUGAGACACGGCCCAGACUCCUACGGGAGGCAGCAGUGGGGAAUAUUGCACAAUGGGCGAAAGCCUGAUGCAGCGACGCCGCGUGAGGGAUGACGGCCUUCGGGUUGUAAACCUCUUUCAGCAGGGAAGAAGCGAAAGUGACGGUACCUGCAGAAGAAGCGCCGGCUAACUACGUGCCAGCAGCCGCGGUAAUACGUAGGGCGCAAGCGUUGUCCGGAAUUAUUGGGCGUAAAGAGCUCGUAGGCGGCUUGUCACGUCGAUUGUGAAAGCUCGGGGCUUAACCCCGAGUCUGCAGUCGAUACGGGCUAGCUAGAGUGUGGUAGGGGAGAUCGGAAUUCCUGGUGUAGCGGUGAAAUGCGCAGAUAUCAGGAGGAACACCGGUGGCGAAGGCGGAUCUCUGGGCCAUUACUGACGCUGAGGAGCGAAAGCGUGGGGGAGCGAACAGGAUUAGAUACCCUGGUAGUCCACGCCGUAAACGGUGGGGAACUAGGUGUUGUCAACAUUCCACGUUGUCGGUGCCGCAGCUAACGCAUUAAGUUCCCCGCCUGGGGAGUACGGCCGCAAGGCUAAAACUCAA